CCAUCCUAUCAUCAUUCUCAUCCCAAUCUUCCUCAGGUUUGGGAACUCGAAUGCUAUUAACCACGUGUGAUGGUUCUUGUGGUCCCUUGACUAUAACCCUCCACAAGGCAUAGUCUUGUGCUUGAAUGAAGAUUCUCAUUCUAGUCUUCCAAUAGGUAUAAUUUGUCCCAUUGAAGAGUAGAGGUCUAUUGGUUGCUUGCCCCUCGGCAGGAACAUUGUUAAAGGAUGUUGCCAUCUAGAUCUUUGGCUAAGACGGUUAGGUCUUUCAAGAAAUACACAGAGCACCUGCUCUGAUACCACUUGUUGCCCAGAGAUGGUCACCCAAGAGGGGGGUGAAUUGGGUGUUUUAAAAACUUUUGACUAAUUAAAAAUAAAACACACAAA
rnacentral:lncRNA from 1 species